ensembl:snRNA
GUGUUGUAUGAAAGGAGAGGUUAGCACUACCCUUGACAAGGAUGUAAAAGGCCCUUGGGCUUGACAAUACACAUAUGGUUAAGGCAAUGCCACCUACUUCAGGUAUCUAACUAUCAUAUUUA